UACGUAGGGUGCGAGCGUUGUCCGGAAUUAUUGGGCGUAAAGAGCUCGUAGGCGGUCUGUUGCGUCGAUCGUGAAAACUUGGGGCUUAACCCUGAGCUUGCGGUCGAUACGGGCAUGACUGGAGUUCGGCAGGGGAGACUGGAAUUCCUGGUGUAGCGGUGAAAUGCGCAGAUAUCAGGAGGAACACCGGUGGCGAAGGCGGGUCUCUGGGCCGAUACUGACGCUGAGGAGCGAAAGCGUGGGGAGCAAACAGG
rnacentral:rRNA from 1 species